GCAUUGGUGAUUCAAUGGAAGAAUUCUCACCUUUUCAUGUGGGAGACCCUGGUUCAAUUCCCAGCCAAUGCA
rnacentral:tRNA from 1 species